AUUGAACGCUGGCGGCAUGCCUUACACAUGCAAGUCGAACGGUAACAGGUCUUCGGAUGCUGACGAGUGGCGAACGGGUGAGUAAUACAUCGGAACGUGCCCGAGAGUGGGGGAUAACGAGGCGAAAGCUUUGCUAAUACCGCAUACGGUCUCAGGAUGAAAGCAGGGGACCGCAAGGCCUUGCGCUCACGGAGCGGCCGAUGGUAGAGUAGGUAGUGAGUGGGAUAAAAGCUUAACAAGCCGACGAUCUGUAGCUGGUCAGAGAGGACGUCCAGCCACACUGGGACGGAGACACGGCCCAGACUCCUGCGGGAGGCAGCAGUGGGGAAUUUUGGAAAAUGGGCGCAAGCCUGAUCCGGCCAUGCCGCGUGCAGGAUGAAGGCCUUCGGGGUGUAAACUGCUUUUGUACGGAACGAAAAGACUCUGGUUAAUACCUGGGGUCCAUGACGGUACCGUAAGAAUAAGCACCGGCUAACUACGUGCCAGCAGCCGCGGUAAAAC
rnacentral:rRNA from 1 species